UUUACCCGUCUCGGAUUCGGGUAGGGUUCGGAGUUAGGUGAUCGGAUACCCGUUACCCGAACCCGGUUAGCUAUACUAACAAAACUAACCCUAAUUCCUAAAUUUUCUUUUUUCGUUUCACUUCAUAUGCUUCCCUCUCUCUGUCGGCGCCUCUCUCCCCCGCUUCCCUUCCCAUUAUUUCCGAUCGACUCUCUCUCCCACUUCACUGCCGGCAGCCCCGACACCGGCGAUGUCUCCUUUUUCUCCCCAACGACCAUAAAUCUUCUCCCUCCCCAGUUAGGGAUUUCCCCAUCCCUUGAGUACUACCUUCAAGGAAUUCCUCUCGCGUCCCUGUAUUGAUAAGAGCGCAUUCUCAUACUCCCACACCGGUUACAUGCAGCGGCAUCUGAUUGAAGAGCUCCAAGGCAAACAACGGAUAUUCUAACAAGACCGGGUAAGCAUUCAGAGAUAGGAACAGUAAUUCCACAAACUAAAAAUACAGAGUCUGCAAGCUGCUCGUGAGGUUUUUUUUCUUUUUAUUUUUUUUUUAUUUAUCACUUGUGCGCUUUGUGUAUUAUUGAAUUGGC
rnacentral:lncRNA from 1 species